UUGUUGGUCGCCACAUGGGACCAUCUCGGUGACUUUUAAGUAGGUAAUAGUGUGAAGUCUUUUUAUGCAAGGUGUUUUCAAAUACAGAGUUGUAUAUUUCGCAGCAGUCUGCUGCCUGCCUGACUGUUGUCUGCCUGGGCCUGGAAGGGAUUCCAAGCUCCCCUGCCUGGAGUGGUGUGAUGACCUCUCCUUUAGCCUACUGAGUACAUUUGAGUGAAGAUCAUGUGCCGGCCACAUGGACGCCCCCCGAUGACAUCACCCCGAGGCGACUCGACAACACCAUACUAAAAGGGCUUCAUUCACAACUGCUGGUUAGCCGGUGCUAAAUAACGCCUGUGGAAGUUAAAUAGAGGGUGUCUCAGCCACUAUACCCAUGUGCUGUCCAUUAGCUUAUCCGUAAAGGUCCCCUGCGUGUGCGGCAGCGCUGCAGUAUUCUGCAGCAUUCAGCCCGUUCGCACAGUGUCGCCUCAG